AUUUCCUCAUUCCUCUGCAAGCUUAUACAAAUACAAUCAAGCAGCUCUUGUUUUAAAUGUCGUCUCCGAGAAUUAACCGGAGAGGUAAUGAAGAGAAGAAUAGAAAAGGAAAGUUAUCGGAAAAAUCCAUGUCGUUUCACGGACAAAGUUCGGGGAGCAGCAGCACGUCCUCGGAGCUAUUGCGGAGGCCGAGGACGGUGCCGGACUUGCUCGCCGGUGUUAGAACUUCCGCCGGUGACUCGCCGUCGGCGGUGAAUUUCCGGCCGAUGAAGUUGACGAAGAUGCUGGUGAACGUGACGAUUUAAAGGAGUGUUGGACCUGUACAGGUACUGAUAUCGUUGGAAUCGACUGUUGAGGAUCUCAUCGCCGCCGCGCUACGGCAGUACUCGAAGGAAGGAAGGCAGCCAGUGAUUUCCUCCGUUGACGCCGCCGAUUACGAUCUUCAUUACUCGCAGUUCAGCUUAGAAAGUUUGGACAUGAAGGAGAAGCUCACUGCUUUGGGGUCAAGAAACUUUUUUAUGUGUCCGAAAAACGUUGGCGCAACGACGUCGUCUUUAAGCUGUGGAAAACAAGCUGAUACAUCUAACAAGAAUAUUCCUUUGCCAUGGCUCAAAUUCAUGGAUUUCUUGCCGUAAGGCAGCCAGUGUACAAAGUAUCACGUGUUCGUACAGGGUCCGAAGAAGGGUUGUAUCCCAAUAGGAUAUAAUAUAUGCAGCAUACCCUGAUACAAGUAUCAACGGUCUAAUCCGUUACUUACAGGUCACACGUUAACAACUUAAUUGUUGCUCCAAGAUUUUCCUUCGGUGUGAUGGAUUUCUUGGUAUGGAAAAUUAAAUUUAGAGCCUUGACUUAUAGGUUAUACUCCAUGUUUUAGUGAAGAUGCUAAGUUCUAAUAGAUCUCUUCUCGGGUUAAUUCACUCAAUAUAUUCGAAAGAGGGCUAGCUUUUCACGACUACAAAAGUGUUAUAUAUAUUUUAUUCCUACGCUUAUUUUUUUGUAGUUUGUCAUAGUUUGAGAUUGAUAUAUUGUAUAUAUUAUAGUUAUUCGAAGUUGAGAAGAGGUAUUGAAAUUAUCUCAACAUGGUGUAGCAUAGUUUUUAAGUGCUAAAUUUGAUAUGUAAUACAUCCAAACACCUAGUGGUGUUAAACCUGUUGGUUAUAAAUGGAUCUUUGUACGUAAAA